UGACAGUAAUUUACCACUGCCGCUUUUAUUUAGGGACGGCAGUAUGGCGUUUGGUUUUAUGAAUGAAAAUGUUGUUGUUGUGCGAUUUACUAUAAAUUUGGGCUUGGGUAAUUUGGCUGCCAUAUCGACUUGUGAGGCUACUUGAGAUGAUUGUUGUUUUUGUAGAACAAUUUUUGUAGUUUCUGCGGUGACAUAUUUAUAUGUGUAAAUCAACUGGAUAGGGAAGGAUUAAAAAAUUUAAUUUAUCCGCGAACGCGUUUAUUUAUACAGCCGAGUUCGUCCUCUUUUUUGAUAAAUUAUUAAAUUUUUUUAAAGUAAUGUUUUUGGAGCAGUAAGGAAUUUUAAAGAACCCUUUUCGGCAACUGCGGUGCAAUUAAAAUUUCUUAAAGAAGCCGAGGAGCUUCUUGACUCCAUAAAAGUGCACAGUUUUUUCGGUCACAAAACAACAAACACUUUUAGCUUUAUAAAAAGUCGGCUUUUUAAUAUAAGUAGCUUAAGACCUUUGUGGCGCUUCUGGUCAAAUAAGAGAUUCACACAUUUAAUGACUAGAAAACUGACUCAGGACAGACUGGAGAAUUUUUUUGGACAUAUACGCAGAGGGGGGGUUUGUAUUUUCAGAAAAGUCUGGGGAUAUAUAAGAUGUGUAGAUAAAUAAAAUUGCGAACUCUUGCCAGUUGACCAGUGUGAGUCAUUUUGUAAUAGCUCCUUCCAAAACGCCUGUAACGACGCUUUGGUUAAAGCACCUCUUGGCAAACUUUUCAAGGUUUUCCAAUUCUACUUCAUUUCAAAAUAUACCAAUCGAGGUAAAUGUAGAUGUAGACGAAACAGCUUUCUACAUAAAACUGCUUUUGUAUAUUUCUGCGGUUACUUGUAUUACAAAUAUUUAAAAACAAAACCUGAUUGUUUAAUGCCUUUGCCAAUAUUUGAUGAUGGUAUUACUGAAGAAGAAUUCUUCUUCACUACUGAAAAGCAAUGUAGCCAAAUAGUAAAACCACCCACAUUUUGAUUCAACUUGCCACAGGAUCGGUCGGAAAGGGUGAACGUAGAACCAUAAUAUUGUUGUGAAAAUUGUAAUUCCGAUAUUAUAAAAUGUUUAUUCAUUAGAAUUAGAACAUAUUUCCUAGUAAAUGCUUUUAACAAAAAAGUGAAACAAAAUGAUUUCAAAAACCUACCCUUACCUGGAUCUAUGAUUUUGAAAUAAGAAUUUUUGUAAUUAGGUUUGUACGCUUAUUAUUACGUAUUUUUUUUGUUCGCUAAGUGUUUUCGUGUACCGAGUAUAGGACCCUUUUCUCCACCACUAUUACUUUGAUAGGGGUUUUUAAUUAGUAUUUCGCUGUGAGUGAUUUGGAAUAUUUUCUCAAUAUUAUUUAUUACUUAGUAGAUUGUUUUGUUUAUUAUUAUUGUUUUUCCUGAAUUUUAUUCAAUUAUUUUUGUUUUUGUUAAAAUUAAUACAAGUAGAUUGUUUUCACAUAUAUUUAUUUGUUUAUGAAUACAAUUGAUUUGUACCUGAUUUUUAUAUAUUUAUUUCCGUUUUUGUUUAAAUCAAGUUGUAUAUUUCAACUUAUAUUGUUAAUGUAAUUAAUAUACAUUAAACUGAUUAUAUUUGUUACGAAAAUUAGAUUGUGUUAGAACUGUAUAUAUUAUAUGGGUGAAUAUAGGGCUUUUGGGGAACCGAACAUCCAAAAAAGAUCGGUAACGCACCUAUAUUGCAACCUCAGUGGUGGUGAGGAAAAGCAAUAAAUAUAUAAUAACCUUUCGUUUCGAAAAUAUUCUUGAAAGUUUUCAUUAAUAUUCUCGAUUAUAAAAACAUGUUCACAAACAAGUUGUUAAACUGCAUUCUUUUUGUUUACAUUUCUGUGUCAAAAGGCAGAUUCGAUCAUGUGAUCUCAGCUGUGUCACACACAUAGGAAAACAGCUGAUUUUUGGUUAUCUGUUGGUCUAUACAAUGUUGCAGACUGAUUUCAUUGUCGCUUUGUCCCAUCGCAAAGGCUCAGUUCAGUGAUGCCAACUUGGGGGAUUUUACCCUAAAUUUUUAAUUAAAAAUUUACUGAAUAUACUGAAGCAAAGUACCAGAAAAGUGUACAAUGAAAAUUUAAAGUUGUGCUAUAGAUACAGAUUCACGCAUCUAUAUUGUAGUCUACGUCACUCAGUGGAAUUUACUAUUGAAAUGUUGAAAAGUUCUGAGUCUAGUAAGAAACAAGUUUUAUAUUUUAAACACUGCACAAUAACUCACGAUUUAUAUUAACAUAAAUAAUGAGCUUUAAGGAAAAAAAAUUUUCAAAAAUAUUCCAAAGAAUGGGGAAAAAAUGAUAGGUUGAAAGAUUAGUUAUAUCCUGAUCCUACUCGUGAUAGUACGAAGGCGUUUUGUAAAUAUCUGUUUAUGCAGCGCAUAAAAAAGAUUUAAUAAAGCACACUUGAGUGUCGUCCGUUGCCAGUUAUAAAACCUCCAGACACUAAAGUUAAGGAACUUCAGCUUGCAGCAGAACACACAUCGAUUGUUACAAUUGAUCACGAGUUAUUAAAAAAAAUUGACCUUGAUUCGGCAAUUUUUGGUAACAUGAUAUUGCAUCGGACAAAGUGCGCUGCUCUCAUUAAAAAUAGUUUAGGUCCGUGCAUGCUUGAAGACUUAAUAAAUGAUAUGAAGGAGGCUCCCUUCUCACUUAUUGUUGAUGAAAGCACAGAUGUACUAACUGAGAAAGUUUUGUGCAUAAUGAUGCGUUAUUUUUUUUUUAAGAAAAAGACAUUAAUAACAACAUUCUAUCGUAUUGUGAAAAUAGUUGAUGCUACUGCCAAUGGUAUUUACAAAGCUUUAAAACUGCAGGCUUUCUUUGAAAAAUUUAGUUGGGAUUGGAGUCGGUGGUGCUAAUGUGGUGGUGCGUGUAAAUCACUCUGUUUCAUCGCUGUUAAAAUAAGAACUUCCUGAUGUUAUAAUUAUUAAAUGUAUCUGCUACUCUCUACACUGCUUCGUCAACUGGAAUAUCUUGUCAGGGAAGUUCACAAUUGGUUUUCCAACAGUCCAAAACGCAAAGACGAACAUAGAUUACUUUACAAUGUUAUGAAUGAAGCUAAGGAUCCGAAACAAAUUGCUGGUUUGAGCGGGACACGAUGGCUUGCAAGAUAUUCAGCUAAUAAUACUAUUUUGGAGCAGGGAGAUAAUUUAAAACUGCUCUUUGAACUAGCUAAAAGUAACGACAAAUGUUUACAAGCGCAGUACUUAUACGACAUAAUUGUUUGUCCGGCGUAUAAACUAUUUAUGGGUUUUUUGCACUCUAAUUUAGAACUAUUGACUAAUUUAAAUAAACUGUUUCAAAGUACUACAAUAUAGAGAUAUUUAUAUAUGUAAUAUAGAGAUAUUUAAACUGCUUGAAGACUUAUUUUUUUGUAUUAGAGUAUUCUACAAAAAAUUGUUGUUCUAACUCAACUACAAAAAAAUAAAGAUGACGAUUUAGUUACAUUCCA